GAUGAACGCUAGCGGCAGGCCUAACACAUGCAAGUCGAGGGGUAGGGUUACUUCGGUAGCCUGAGACCGGCGCACGGGUGCGUAACGCGUAUGCAAUCUACCUUUUACUAAGGGAUAGCCCAGAGAAAUUUGGAUUAAUACCAUAUAGUAUAUUCGAAUGGCAUCGUUUGAAUAUUAAAGAUUUAUCGGUAAAAGAUGAGCAUGCGUCCCAUUAGUUAGUUGGUGUGGUAACGGCACACCAAGACGAUGAUGGGUAGGGGUCCUGAGAGGGAGAUCCCCCACACUGGUACUGAGACACGGACCAGACUCCUACGGGAGGCAGCAGUGAGGAAUAUUGGUCAAUGGAGGCAACUCUGAACCAGCCAUGCCGCGUGCAGGAUGACGGUCCUAUGGAUUGUAAACUGCUUUUGUACGGGAAGAAAACAAACUACGCGUAGUUAAUUGACGGUACCGUAAGAAUAAGGAUCGGCUAACUCCGUGCCAGCAGCCGCGGUAACA
rnacentral:rRNA from 1 species